AAUAAUAUAUUUCUAAAUUCUCACCUAACCUAAAUCUAAAUGCGUGCCGCUGCCUAGUGCCUGCCUCUCUCUACUAUCUUAUCUUUCUUCAUCUUUGACCUUGCACUCUUGGGUCUUGACCAGGUGGCGAAGCUCCAUCAGUCUCGCCUCCAGUCGAGUCUCAGCUCCAAGCAAAGCUCCACGCGAUCUCUACUGGACAACUCCAAGCGAAGCUCGACGAAGUCUUUGCUCCAGGCGGUCGACCGAGGGUGGAGGCAGUCGACGGAGGUAGGUUCUCUCUUUUUAUUUUAUUCAUAUAAUAUAUACAUAUAGAUAUAAAUCAAGUAUAUUGUAUAUGUAUUACGUUUACAUUUUUGGCUGGUACUAUUUGGUAAGUAAAGAUUCUUGUUUGUUUGUAUUUUGUAAGAUUUAUAUUUAUUUAUUUUCAUUUUAGCUGUAUUCAGGUCGGUCGAAUAGCACAUAGGUCGGCAGGUGGUAUUGUUACUACUUUGCUUACUGUCAUUAUAUAUAUAUAUAUAUAUAUGCAUACGCAUAUUACCGGUUGCGUGUCAUUUAUAUGUAUAGUUUUAUAUUAUUGGUAUUUGCUAAUUUAUCCUAUGUUUUUUACAGGCAAUUUGGCACUGUCAAAUAAAAGAGAGAAAUAUUGCUUGCUUAAUUUGUUUGUUAAAAUAAAUUAGUGCUGAGAUAAUUAAAUAUUUUGUGCAUAUUUGGCGUAUCAUGAACAUAUUAGUUUAAAGGGAUUCAUGAAUGAUUCAAACAAAGGAAUAUUUGGAUGCUAUACAAAAAUAUGAGUUUCUUGAAGAAGACAAUAAACUUAAGGAGAAUGCAACAACAAAAGAGAACAUCAAGACACCCAUUGCCAUUGUUGA